GAUUGAACGCUGGCGGCAUGCCUUACACAUGCAAGUCGAACGGCAGCACGGACUUCGGUCUGGUGGCGAGUGGCGAACGGGUGAGUAAUAUAUCGGAACAUACCCUAGAGUGGGGGAUAACGUAGCGAAAGUUACGCUAAUACCGCAUACGAACUAAGGUUGAAAGUGGGGGAUCGCAAGACCUCAUGCUCAUGGAGUGGCCGAUAUCUGAUUAGCUAGUUGGUGAGGUAAAGGCUCACCAAGGCGACGAUCAGUAGCUGGUUUGAGAGAACGACCAGCCACACUGGAACUGAGACACGGUCCAGACUCCUACGGGAGGCAGCAGUGGGGAAUUUUGGACAAUGGGGGCAACCCUGAUCCAGCAAUGCCGCGUGAGUGAAGAAGGCCUUCGGGUUGUAAAGCUCUUUUGUCAGGGAAGAAACGGUUGUGGCUAAUAUCCAUGGCUAAUGACGGUACCUGAAGAAUAAGCACCGGCUAACUACGUGCCAGCAGCCGCGGUAAUACGUAGGGUGCAAGCGUUAAUCGGAAUUACUGGGCGUAAAGCGUGCGCAGGCGGUUAUAUAAGUCAGAUGUGAAAUCCCCGGGCUCAACCUGGGAACUGCAUUUGAGACUGUAUGGCUAGAGUGUGUCAGAGGGGGGUAGAAUUCCACGUGUAGCAGUGAAAUGCGUAGAUAUGUGGAGGAAUACCGAUGGCGAAGGCAGCCCCCUGGGAUAACACUGACGCUCAUGCACGAAAGCGUGGGGAGCAAACAGGAUUAGAUACCCUGGUAGUCCACGCCCUAAACGAUGUCUACUAGUUGUCGGGACUUAAUUGUCUUGGUAACGCAGCUAACGCGUGAAGUAGACCG
rnacentral:rRNA from 1 species